rnacentral:rRNA from 1 species
CGGGCGCACGGCGGAUGCCUUGGCACAGGGAGCCGAUGAAGGACGCGGCAAGCUGCGAUAAUCCCCGGCGAGGAGCACACAUCCUUCGACCCGGGGGUCUCCGAAUGGGCGAACCCAUCCACAGAGGUGUGGAUAUCCCCACCCCGAACACAUAGGGGCGGGGAGGACAACCCGGGGAACUGAAACAUCUAAGUACCCGGAGGAGAGGAAAUCAAUCUCGAGACUCCCCGAGUAGCGGCGAGCGAAAGGGGACCGAUGGCCAAACCGUCGAGCGGGCAUACCCGGCAGGGGUUCCGCCGACGGGGUUGCAGGGCCGCGCAUCCGGGGGCUGCCGCCCCCGGGCGCAGGUCCGGCUGGGGAGCGGAACGGCAUGGGAGGGCCGGCCGCAGCGGGUGACAGCCCCGUACGCGAACCCAGACCGGACGGCGCGACGCGGUCCCUGAGUAGGGCCGGGCACGUGAAACCCGGUCCGAACCUGGGUGGACCACCAUCCAAGCCUGAGUACUACCCUGUGACCGAUAGCGCACCAGUACCGUGAGGGAAAGGUGAAAAGCACCCCGGGAGGGGAGUGAAACAGUACCUGAAACCGUGCGCCCACGAGCAGUCGGAGCACCUAUACGGUGUGACGGCGUGCCUUUUGUAGAAUGAGCCAGCGAGUCGCUGGCGCGGGGCGAGGUUAACCGAAAGGGAGCCGGAGCGAAAGCGAGCCUUAACAGGGCGACUUGAGUCCCGCGCCGCGGACGCGAAGCCGGGUGAGCUAUCCGUGGGCAGGCUGAAGCGGGGGUAAGACCCCGUGGAGGGCCGAACGCACGUCGGUUGAAAACGGCGGCGAUGACCUGCGGAUAGGGGUGAAAGGCCAAUCAAACCCGGAGAUAUCUCGUUCUCCCCGAAAUAGCUUUAGGGCUAGCGUCGCGCGUUCACCGCCGGAGGUAGAGCACCGGAUGGACGAGGGGGCUUCGCCGCCUACCGAAUCCAACCGAACUCCGAAUGCCGGCGGCCCAGAGCGCGGCAGUCAGAGCAUGUGGGCUAAGCUGUGUGCUCGAGAGGGAAACAGCCCGGACCGCCCGCUAAGGUCCCCAAGUUCCAGCCGAGUGGCAAAGGAUGUGCGUCCGCCCAGACAACCAGGAUGUUGGCUUAGAAGCAGCCAUGCAUUCAAAGAGUGCGUAACAGCUCACUGGUCGAGUGGACAUGCGCCGACAAUACACGGGGCUAAGCUGGACACCGAAGCGGCGGGAUUUUGAUUUUCAGAAUCGGUAGGGGAGCUUCCCAUGGGCGGUGAAGCCGCCGGGCGACCGGCGGUGGAGCGCAUGGGAGUGAGAAUGCUGGCAUGAGUAGCGAGAGACGAGAGAGUAACUCGUCCGCCGUGAACCCGAGGUUUCCUGGGCAAGGCUAAUCCUCCCAGGGUCAGUCGGGGGCUAAGGCGAGGCCGGGAGGCGUAGCCGACGCGCAGCAGGCAGACAUUCCUGCACCGCGCACGCGGCGCUACGACCGACGGGGCGACGGAUGGGGGUGGCUCGGCGGGGUUCUGGACGUCCCCGUGAUGGAGCGCGGCCCGCGGACCAGGGAAAUCCGGUCCGCACACAGGGCGAGGCUCCGGACGAAGCGAUCAAGCGAAGCGAGUGAGCCCGAGGUCCCUAGAAAAACCCCUAGGCAGGCGCGUGCGCGCCCGUACCGCAAACCGACACAGGUGGGUGGGUAGAACAUACCGAGGCGAUCGGGUCAACCAUGGUCAAGGAACUCGGCACAAUGGCCCCGUAACUUCGGGAGAAGGGGUGCCCGCGCGUACGUGAACCGGCUUGCCCGGGGAGCGGAGGCGGGCCGCAGUGGAGAGGCCCAAGCGACUGUUUACCAAAAACACAGGACUCUGCAGAAGCCGCAAGGCGACGUAUAGGGUCUGACGCCUGCCCGGUGCCGGAAGGUCACGCGGAGGAGUUAGCCGCAAGGCGAAGCCCCGAAGCCAAGCCCCGGUAAACGGCGGCCGUAACUAUAACGGUCCUAAGGUAGCGAAAUUCCUUGUCGGGUAAGUUCCGACCUGCACGAAAGGCGCAACGACUUGGGCGCUGUCUCGACCAUGGACCCGGUGAAAUUGCACUGGUCGUGAAGAUGCGACUUACCCGCGGAAGGACGGAAAGACCCCGUGAACCUUCACUGCAGCUUGGCAUUGGCCGCUGGUCCCGCGUGUAGAGGAUAGGCAGGAGGCGAAGAUCCGGAGGCGCCAGCCCCCGGGGAGCCGCCCUUGGAAUACUGCCCUCGCGCGACCGGCGUCCUAACCCGAGGCCGUCAACCGGCUCGGGGACCGUGCCAGGCGGGCAGUUUGACUGGGGCGGUCGCCUCCUAAAGGGUAACGGAGGCGCGCGAAGGUCCGCUCGGGACGGUCGGCAACCGUCCUUUUGAAUGCAAGAGUACAAGCGGGCUUGACUGCGAGGCCCACAAGCCGAGCAGGUGCGAAAGCAGGCUCUAGUGAUCCGGCGGCCCCGAGUGGGUGGGCCGUCGCUCAACGGAUAAAAGGUACUCCGGGGAUAACAGGCUGAUCUUGCCCAAGAGUCCACAUCGACGGCAAGGUUUGGCACCUCGAUGUCGGCUCAUCGCAUCCUGGGGCUGGAGCAGGUCCCAAGGGUACGGCUGUUCGCCGUUUAAAGCGGUACGCGAGCUGGGUUCAGAACGUCGUGAGACAGUUCGGUCCCUAUCCUCCGUGGGCGCAGGAGAAUCGAUGGAGGCUGCCCCCAGUACGAGAGGACCGGGGUGGACGCACCUCCGGUGAACCGGUUGUCGACCAACGGCACGGCCGGGUAGCCGCGUGCGGCGCGGAUAACCGCUGAAGGCAUCUAAGCGGGAAGCCGUUCCAGGGAUUAGUUCUCCUUCCGGUAAGGGCCCAGGUAGACUACCUGGUCGAUAGACGGCAGGUGCAAGGACGGCGACGUCCUCAGCCGAGCCGCACUAAUCGCCCGAGCUCUUCCGGA